UGCCACCUUGGCAAUGGGCAAAAGGGCACCUCGUUAGUGAUGUUCUUGUAUCAGUCAGGGGCAGAGCAGAUGGCAGGCCUUUGUUCAUCCUAGCUUGAUGCCUGGCUUGGUGGCCAAAGCUGUCUUAUGCCUAGGACUCAUAA